rnacentral:rRNA from 1 species
UAAAAUUAUUUUAAAUAAUAUAUUAGAAAUGAAAUGUUAUUCGUUUUUAAAGGUAUCUAGUUUUUUAAGAAAUAAAUUUAAUUUAGAAAUUUUAUAUUAUUUAAUUUAAUAUAUUAAUUGAAUAAUUAUUUAAUUUUAAUAUUUUAUGGGAUAAGCUAUGAAAUAAAUUUUUAAAAAUUAUUAAAUAAAUUAAUAAAUAUAAGCUUAGAAAUAGUUAUUGUUAAUAAAAAUGUUAUAAUUUAUUUUUUUUUAUAUAUUAUUUAUUUAUAUUUUAAAUUUUUAUUAAAAUAUUUAUUUUAAUUUUAAAAAUAAAAUAAUAAUGAUAAAAUUAGUAUAUUAAUAUUGUAUUUAUAAAUUUAAAUGAUAAGUUUUUAUAAAGAAUUCGGCAAAAAUAAUAUUCGCCUGUUUAACAAAAACAUGUCUUUAUGAAUUUUUUUUAAAGUCUAACCUGCCCACUGAAUAAAUUUAAAUGGCCGCAGUAUCUUGACUGUGCAAAGGUAGCAUAAUCAUUAGUCUUUUAAUUGAAGGCUGGAAUGAAUGGUUGGACGAAAUAUUAACUGUUUCAUAAAAAUUUUUAUUAAAAUUUUAUUUUUUAGUCAAAAAGCUAAAAUUUAUUUAAAAGACGAGAAGACCCUAUAAAUCUUUAUAUUUAAAUUAUUAUAAUUUUUUAGAAAUAUUUUGUUGUUAUAAUUAAUAAUAUUUUAUUGGGGUGAUAUUAAAAUUUAAUAAACUUUUAAUUUAUUUUUGUCAUUGAUUUAUGAAUAAAUGAUCCGUUAUUAACGAUUAAAAAAAUAAGUUACUUUAGGGAUAACAGCGUAAUUUUUUUGGAGAGUUCUUAUCGAUAAAAAAGAUUGCGACCUCGAUGUUGGAUUAAGAUAUAAUUUUAGGUGUAGUUGCUUAAAUUUUAAGUCUGU